rnacentral:lncRNA from 1 species
UUUUUUUUUAGGCCAUAGGCAGGUUACCUCUAUAAUUCCUUUUGAUGCUGUCCUUAAGAGCUGCACUAAUGGAUGAGGUCAAUCCUAAGGGCUUUUGCCCUUAAGAAGCUCUUCACUUGACCUGCACCACUGCCUGUAGCUUUGGAUGAGAGUUCACAGCGAUGUAGUGAUGGGUGAGACUGACAGAGCUUAACUCUCACCUCUUGUUCGCAUCUAACUAUUAAAUUUAGAAAUGGGCCAGGCACACAAAAGCGCUUCCAGGAUCUAUGUAGAAAGAAAUACAUUGCUGUGUGUUUGUAGCUCCGCCCAUCAUUUGAGGGUAAGUAGAAAAGAGGUUUGGCGUGGCUUUCAGAGGAAGUAAGGUGAAGAUUCUUCUCU